CCGCGCAGCACAAGCGCCGGCUGAGCUUGCGAUACAUGCAGCGCAACAAAACCAGUCCUGAACGCGUGUCUAUGCUUAUCUACGAGCCGAAGGCACAGAGGCACCUCGACAAGGGAGACUUUGAACACAGCGCAGUCAACUAGACAAGUUAAAUAAGUUGAUUCAAACGAAUUUAUUGAUUUAAGAUUCGGCGAUUUAGUACGAUUGUACUGUAACUUGUUUUAAUUUAAGUAUAUUAUAUUUAAAAUUAUUUUAUGGAGUACUGUUAACAGGGUAUAGAUAGAUUUAUUCUACGAAUUUAGCGACAUAAUUAAAAUUCGG